AACUUUCAACAACGGAUCUCUUGGCUCUCGCAUUGAUGAAGAACGCAGCGAAAUGCGAUAAGUAAUGUGAAUUGCAGAAUUCAGUGAAUCAUCGAAUCUUUGAACGCACCUUGCGCUCUUUGGUAUUCCGAAGAGCAUGCCUGUUUGAGUGUCA
rnacentral:rRNA from 1 species